rnacentral:tRNA from 2 species
GCGGGCGUGGCGGAAUUGGUAGACGCGCUAGAUUUAGGUUCUAGUUCUUAACGGAGUGGGGGUUCGAGUCCCUUCGCCCGCACCA